rnacentral:rRNA from 1 species
UACGGGAGGCAGCAGUGGGGAAUAUUGCACAAUGGGCGCAAGCCUGAUGCAGCCAUGCCGCGUGUAUGAAGAAGGCCUUCGGGUUGUAAAGUACUUUUCAGUCGUAGAGGAAGGUGUUAAGGUUAAUAACCUUAGCAAUUGACGUUAGCGACAGAAGAAGCACCGGCUAACUCCGUGCCAGCAGCCGCGGUAAUACGGAGGGUGCGAGCGUUAAUCGGAAUUACUGGGCGUAAAGGGCACGCAGGCGGUUAAUUAAGUUGGAUGUGAAAUCCCCGGGCUUAACCUGGGAAUGGCAUUCAAGACUGGUUAGCUAGAGUCUUGUAGAGGGGGUAGAAUUCCAUGUGUAGCGGUGAAAUGCGUAGAGAUGUGGAGGAAUACCGGUGGCGAAGGCGGCCCCUGGACAAAGACUGACGCGUCA